rnacentral:rRNA from 1 species
CGAAAGCCUGACGGAGCAACGCCGCGUGAGGGAUGAAGGCCUCUGGGCUGUAAACCUCUUUUAUCAAGGAAGAAGAUCUGACGGUACUUGAUGAAUAAGCCACGGCUAAUUCCGUGCCAGCAGCCGCGGUAAGACGGAGGAUGCAAGUGUUAUCCGGAAUCACUGGGCGUAAAGCGUCUGUAGGUGGUUUAAUAAGUCAACUGUUAAAUCUUGAGGCUCAACUUCAAAAUCGCAGUCGAAACUAUUAGACUAGAGUAUAGUAGAGGUAAAGGGAAUUUCCAGUGGAGCGGUGAAAUGCGUAGAUAUUGGAAAGAACACCGAUGGCGAAAGCACUUUACUGGGCUAUUACUAACACUCAGAGACGAAAGCUAGGGUAGCA